UCCCUGGUGGUGCAACUGGUAGCAUCCGUGGUGGUCGCCCGCGGGAUCCUGGUUCGAGUCCAGUGCUGGGGAG